GGGCCUAUAGUGUAAUGGAUAGCACAAGCGGCUUCGGACCGCUUAAUCGGCGUUCGAAUCGCCGUGGGCUCA
rnacentral:tRNA from 1 species